CUCUUCCUCUUCAAAGCUUCCGCGAGGAGAAGACCACGGCGAUCCUCUGGUUCCUCAAACGGCAGCUCGACGUGACUGUUCACGGCUCUCUGUGGAGGAUGCAGGAACUGGAGCAUGUUGAACGUGGAAGAGUGGGACGUGAAGAUGACGUCACCUACAGGUGACCCUAAUGGCUGACUCACAUGUGACUGGAUGAGAACGUCUCACUGAAAGGAAUCAAUCUGGGCUUGAAUCUGGAGGCCUUGCCCAAUGGACUGUAAUGGCUCCCUGGUUGGAAGUGACUCUUGGAGCUCAGCCUAAAGUCAAACGCGUCGGUCCACCUGUGCAGAAAGUGAUGCAGCAGUUCGUCAGACCGACUUCACUGUGCAGUAUGACGAUGGUGUGGACACGCUGCACCACGAUUAAGUUGAUAACUCUCAUGUGGUCAGAGUUGAGAUUGCUUGUGUGAUGUCAUAGGAAUGAAAUAAAACACCUGGCAACUA